GUAGGUUUUUUUGACCGUCGCUCGUGUCAGCUUCAAAGUCAGAUAGAUUUUUCUCCCAGCAUGUUCUACUUCCGAGGCUGUGGCCGUUGGGUCGCGGCUUCUUUCACCAAGCAGCAAUUUCCGUUGGCACGGUUGAGCAGUGACAGCGCGGCGCCCCGGACUCCGCACUUCGACGUGAUAGUCAUUGGUGGAGGACAUGCCGGGACUGAGGCAGCCACCGCCGCUGCUCGGUGCGGCUCUCGGACUCUGCUCCUCACUCACCGCGUGGACACGAUCGGUCAGAUGUCAUGUAAUCCUUCCUUUGGUGGCAUCGGAAAGGGACAUUUAAUGAGGGAAGUAGAUGCCUUGGAUGGCCUGUGUUCUCGCAUCUGUGACCAGUCUGGUGUACAUUAUAAAGUAUUAAACCGGCGUAAGGGACCAGCUGUGUGGGGUCUGAGAGCUCAGAUUGAUAGGAAACUCUAUAAACAGAACAUGCAGGUAAGAAUAGGGCAUGAGCACAGGAAAGAUUAUGGUGAUUGUUUAAUUACCAUGUUUCAACUGGCAUUUUCUUUUGACAGAAAGAAAUCUUGAAUACACCACUGCUUACUGUUCAGGAGGGAGCUGUAGAAGAUCUUAUUCUUACAGAACCAGAGCCUGAACACACUGGGAAAUGCCGUGUCAGUGGGGUUGUUUUGGCCAGAAGAUCAGCUGCCAUGUUACUUGACUCACACCAACCCUAGAGUGGAUGAGAUUGUCCUUAAGAACCUUCACCUUAAUAGUCAUGUUAAAGAAACGACAAGAGGACCUCGAUACUGUCCCUCCAUUGAAUCAAAAGUUUUGCGUUUUCCAAACCGUCUACAUCAGGUUUGGUUGGAACCUGAAGGAAUGGAUUCUGACCUUAUCUACCCACAGGGGUUAUCUAUGACGCUACCAGCUGAGUUACAAGAGAAAAUGAUCACAUGCAUCAGAGGCUUGGAGAAAGCUAAAGUGAUUCAGCCAGGUAAAGAGGAUCACAAGUGCCCUUCAGUAUAAGGUCAGCAUUGUUUUAAUGGUCAGUGAGGAGGCCUUAGCUACAGUCAUUGUUGUUCAGAGCCUCAGAAGAUGAAGCCCAACACCUAUACAUUUUAAAUAGUCUGUUUUUUGUUUGUUUGUUUGUUUGUUUGUUUUGAGACGGAGUUUUGCUCUUGUUGCCCAGGAUGGAGUGCAAUGGUGCGAUCUCGGCUCACCACAACCUCCCCCUGCCAGGCUACGGUGUUCAGUAUGAUUACUUAGAUCCCCGUCAGAUCACUCCUUCCCUGGAGACUCAUUUGGUUCAACGACUCUUCUUUGCUGGACAGAUCAAUGGCACCACUGGUUAUGAGGAAGCUGCAGCUCAAUGCUCUUGUAGGGUGUGAUAGCUGGAAUCAACGCCAGUCUUCGGGUCAGUCGCAAGCCUCCCUUUGUGGUUAGCCGAACAGAAGGUUACAUAGGAGUCUUGAUUGAUGACCUCACUACUCUGGGCACCAGUGAACCAUACCGCAUGUUUACCAGCCGAGUAGAGUUCCGUUUGUCACUGCGCCCUGAUAAUGCUGACAGCCGGCUCACACUGCGAGGGUAUAAAGACGCUGGCUGUGUGUCCCAACAACGAUAUGAAAGAGCUUGUUGGAUGAAGUCUUCUUUAGAAGAAGGCAUUUCUGUGUUGAAAUCUAUUGAGUUUUUGAGCUCUAAAUGGAAAAAAUUAAUCCCAGAGGCUUCUAUAAGUACUAGUAGAAGUCUGCCUGUCAGAGCUCUCGAUGUUCUGAAGUAUGAGGAAGUUGACAUGGAUUCAUUAGCCAAGGCUGUUCCAGAGCCCUUGAAGAAGUAUACUAAAUGUAGAGAGCUGGCUGAAAGACUGAAAAUAGAAGCCACUUAUGAAUCAGUGUUGUUCCAUCAACUACAAGAAAUAAAGGGAGUUCAGCAAGAUGAAGCUCUCCAACUGCCAAAAGACCUAGAUUAUUUGACUAUCAGGGAUGUGUCUUUGUCCCAUGAAGUUCGAGAGAAACUACAUUUUAGUCGUCCACAGACGAUCGGGGCUGCUAGUCGCAUACCCGGAGUAACACCUGCUGCCAUCAUCAAUCUGCUGAGAUUUGUGAAGACCACUCAACAAAGACAGGCGGCUAUGAAUGAAUCAUCCAAGACUGAUCAAUACUUAUGUGAUGCAGACAGACUUCAAGAGAGAGAGUUAUAGCUUUCAAUUCAUAAAAGAUUUUUAAAGAGCAUAUAAAUAAUUUGAUCAAUACAACAGUAUAGAUAAAAGAAUUAUUUAGCACAUGUUAAAAUAGCUUUAUUAGGUUACUGUGGGUUUGCCAUUAAUUUCUGAGUGGGACAGAAAUUAUAAUUGUGCUUUUUCGUGUAUAUGAAAAAACUAGUCGUAAACAAUUUGUACUCUUUCUUUAAGGAGCUGUAAUACAAAUAACUUUGUGCAGUGUUCAUCAAAGAGAGAGACAGUGAACCUAAAACUGAACCUGGAAUAAAACUCAACAUGCAGAUUUGCCUACUCAUA
rnacentral:sRNA from 1 species